rnacentral:lncRNA from 1 species
CCCCUUUAAAACAGGAUCGCAAACAGGCUAUAGUAUUGAAAUCAGAAAAGUAAAACUAAUAAAUCUUAUUACAUGUUUUUACAACUAAAUCAAGUUUAGACAACUCUAAUUACCACUAGUCCCAAAGACUCGAUCUUGGAUACUCUUCCUGACCAUCAGGUUGAAACUUAGUCACUUGCAAUCCUCGCCUAGCCUUACUCUUAUGCUUAGCCUAAAUAGGCGAACCAUCUUUAACAUUAUCUGAAAGGGGUUAGAAGAAAUAGCAAGAAUGAGCAAAAGAAUGCUCAGCAAGAAUAUAAUAUUCAAACCAACAAUAAUUCAAACAGUAUGUAAAACCUGAUAGUGAUAUCAAGAUAAUGAUACCAACACAAUAUGAUUUAAACAAAACAGUUUCUCCUUUAUGGAAUUGGAACUAGAUAAGACGCUACGAGCUAAGCUGGGUGAUCAGCCCACGACAUAGCUCCGAACCCGCAUAUUCAAUACGAGUUCUCAAAUAUAAAGGAUCCUAGGCACACUUUGGCCUUUAAUAAUUCAAUUGGGACCGGCGCCUCGGUCAUAAAACAUUUUCAUCCAAUUCCCUUUCUAAAGCUUUAAUAAAUCAAAUCAUUUUUCAUUUUAAAACCAAGGUUCAAAAUCUGUAAGCAACAAUGAUUCUCAACCAAAUAUUCAUUUCAACACCUUAGCAUUAGAGUUCUACUAAUUAAGUAUUCUUUAUCAAGGGUAUAGGUUACUGAAUCAAGUGUAUCAAUGUAUUUUAUAAUAAUGGCAGGGUAGGUUGUAUGAUGAUAACUAAGGUCUUUCAAGAAAUGGGGUUUCAUUUAUGGGUCAGAAACAAACAAGUGAACUAGUUUAUAAGCAAGAACACAAUUUGUUGUAGUUAAGAGGGAGGUAAGAAAACAAGGUUCUAAGCUCAAUAAUAAGUAACUGGCAGUUGAAUAAGAUAAGGAUGAUAAUUAAGUUGAUACAUUUGUAAGAUAUAAGUGACAAAGGGUAUUCCAUUUCAUACUUGGGUAAUUCCAGAAUACUCGUAAUUAGUAGAAGUCUAAUUCUAUAAGGAGUUUUGCAAUAUUCAAAGCAUAACAAAAGCAUUGCAGGAGCAAAAUCUUUUAAAGAGAAGUAGGUUGGAUAUAUACUUGCCUUAAGUCCGGUGUCUAGCUCAGAUUUCUAAUAACACUAUGUAGUGCCAUAUCAUUCCUUUCUGCCAGCUUCUGACAAGAUUCUAUCUAUAGCAAUCUCUGCCUAACUUCAACUUGCAACACAACUUAGCUAUUUCUGAAUAAUUAUUUCAAUCACUUCUCGAUCCAUGCCUCGAUCAACAUCUCGUUCAACUCUAUACGAUAGUAAAAUAGUAUUUCAGUCGUCAAAUCCGAUGGAUUAACUGACUCCUAAAGGCAUUAAGACCUAUAUAUAUAACUACCCUUCGCAUAUACAUACCACGUAGCCAGAUAAACACAUAGCACAUAGUUGAACAAUUAACUUUUAUAGCUAUUACAAGUCAAUAAAGAUAAGUUAACAUUUAACAUGUUUCAGUCAACCAUUUCAUCUUAUUCUUAACUAUUUAAUAUCCUUUAACAAGUAAACAUAUAUAAUAUUCUAACAAAAAUUCGGCAGCAUCCCCUUUAUUUAUCGAACUAUCCACCUGUUUCCAAACCAACCAACUGUAUUACCAUACUCUAAUCAAUUCUGAUCCUAGUCAAAAUAUUUUGAAAACCAAGUCCAACCCGCCCUAUCUGACGGUGACCAACUACUAUUAUAUAAUAAUAAGUAUCGAAUGACUAACAGUUUCAUAUCUUAAAUAACUUGUAACCAAUCCUAGAAUCAUCUCCUUUAAGCGAAACUAAAUUUUUUUGCUUAAAUUAAAUCAAUCAUAAGAUUACUCCACCCAAUCAACAUAUAUAACUUUACUACACAUAAUCCGGCUGGAGUACAUAUACAACUAGUUACACGACUUGAUACUAAACACAUAACAUGUGUUAAUACAUGUAACAUACCACAAUCAAUCUAGCUAUCACUUAUAUUAGCACAAAACCAUACGUCAAGUCAUAAUAUACAAGAUAACUAUCAAACCUAAAAUUCAUGUUUGACCAGUUUCGAAAGAAUGACAUUUUAAGACCCCUGUAUGGACUCAAACAGAAAAGUUUAAAACAUAAGAGUUGUAAAACAUUUCAAGACCUUUUCAGAAUGGUAAGGCUCAUUAAAAAUGACCAAGUAACAAGUUCAGAAACUUCAAAACAAUCUGCUGCAUAAGCAGACUCAGCCCUAUUUUCGUAAGUAGCUUAUCUUUUGAGACUCAUAAAUCACAUAUUUAUUUUAUGGAAUGUAAACAACAAUUUUAGAACUCGAAAAUAUCUUUUCAGAUUCAUAAAGCUCAACAUCAUAGACAAAUCAGUGAAUUUACUACAAGUUUUUAAAGGACAAGGUACCAUUUUCAAAAUUCAGCACAUACGUGACAAAAUCAUGAAAAUACUGAUAUUUCGAAACUGAACUACAUAAAACUCAAAGAACGAUAGUUGAAGAUAAUUCCAAGACCUUUCUAACAGAUAUUAAAUCACAAUGCUUCGACAAAUAAUGAAUUAACUACGUAGUUUAUACUAGCCCAGCUUUGUCAAUCUGCGCAUACUAUAUCAAAAUAAUCAUAACUAAUAGCUCGUUAACUCAAACAACACAAGGUUUUCGCGUGGACAAACUAGACUCCGAGUAGAACGUUCCCAUCCUGUACCCACUAUACAAAACAGGGCAGAAGCAGUCACGAAAUACCAGAGCAGAAGAGGACAGUGCAGAAUCCAAUUCAUAUCAAAAUCACUACUAAACAACCUGUAUAACUGCAUAAACUUGUAUACAUAACUGAUUUAAAUCAAUACUACCAACUUAUAGAACCCCAACACAGCACAAACAGGUUAUACGCAUAUACACACAACAUAAUUGAAAGAGAAAGUAGACUGAUUUGUACCCAAACUAGAACCAAUAUGAAAUAGGGUGAACUACUAAUCAGGUUGUAAAAUCAAUUAGGAGCGAGAGCCAGUACCUGGCUUCGAACAGAGUAGAAACGGAGGACAUAGCAGCGGUGGUGGAAUCUGAUGGAACAGAGGCGGUCGGAAAGAUGAGCGGUGGAUUGAGUUCAGUGAGAGGAGAUGGAAUGCGUGAGUCUGAAGCGGAGCAAUUAAAAAGAAAGGAAUACAGUUGUUUAAUACGUGGCACAAGCAAAAGAAAAGGAACGCAAGAAAAGGAACGCAACGUGUACAAACCCCAGGCUACCAUCUGUUCAAGUAAGCUACUCAUCAAACAACCUAUACCCGCUUUUAACUAAUUUACAGAGAUAACUAAUCAGUAAAACUUCUCCCGGAAAUUAUCAAAAUAUUUUUAUAAAUCCCGGAAUAUUAUAAAACUAAUGAAAUAAAAAUUUAGGGAUUUAUAAAGCAUUUUCGAAAUUUAUACAAUACUUAGAAGUUAACUGCUUUCAAAAACUAAUUAAAAAUCAUGUACUUAUAGAAAUAAGAUUUUUAAUAUAUUACAAAACUCAUAAAAAUAUUAAUGAUCACUAUCGAGCAAUUAAAAUAAUUUUCCAAAUCAUCUUUGUAUUAUUAUAAAAAAAAUACCCAUUUAAGAGGAUAACAUAUUUUAAUAAAAUAAUAAAGAUAAUAAUAUCAAAAGCAAAGAUACAUGCACACACGGACAAAAUAGGUGCACAUAUAAAUCAAUUAAAUCACCUAACAAAUAAUUGCACGAUCAACAGAUAUUUUCUCAUACCCAAAUGACAAGAAAUAAUUUAAAUAAAUAUUUUUGAAAAUUAUUAAACUAGAAUAAAAUAUUGAAUUUUAUUCUGCAUUUUCUGGAAAUAUAACAAUUAAACUCACAAUAUAAUUUUUUUGAAAAAUCCGGGUCGUCACAAUCUACCUCCCUUAAAAGGAUUCCGUCCUCGGAAUCAGCGAAAAACAAACUAGAGCGUACAUCUCUAUAAUCCGCAAUACUCUUUCUUUUUGAUAUAAAAUUUUUCUUGAUCGCUUCCUUAUACCCGCAUCACCCGCAUCGUCAUCCACAUUUAUUCAUAAUACUUCCUACUAUAAAGGCUUAAUUUAUCUUGGCAACUCAGUUGGCAUACCUUCAUUUACUAAUCAGACUUUGACAAGUUGAUUUCAGUAGUAUUUUGAGAUUGAAAACAAGAGUCUUGAGGAUGAAAAAUAUGAAAGAUUAUAUCUAUUGGAACAAUGUCACGUGAUUGAAAUAAAAGAAUAACUGAGAGAUCAAUAUGAUCUAAAGAACUCAGUGUUGCGUGUCUUGAUUAAGACACUACUAAAGGUAGUUAACCUUCUUGUAAUAUACAACACACACAAGAGAUGGCGUCCCAUCCAACUCCUAUCACACAAACAGGUAGUCCUUGUGUCCCCUAUAAUUAGAGUUGUUCAUCUCAGUUAGAAUAGUGAAUUAUGAAAAGGAUUCAACACUAGGAGAAUAUAUGUUGUCCUUUGAUGAAUAAAAUUUUGAGGCACAUUUUGGAUUAAGACGGAAUAGAUUUCAAAGGUGCUUAUUUCAGUAAAAAGAAUAAUCAUAAAUGAUACAGUAAGCACCAUCAUCAUCCCAUAAUUCAAGAGAGGAAACUAUAUUCUUUAUCACACGUCUAUAUGAAAGAGAUGUCGAAACAAAUUAAUCACUGAAGUGAAAAGAAAUCAAGAUAACCAACAAAAGAAGAAGGUAUUGCCAAAAGCUUCACAGGUGUCUUUUCAAUCUAUUCUUCUAAUGGAUAGCUAUGCGAUUCUAAUCCUUUCUUCUCAGCAUUCGAUAAUGCGCAAUAACGUACAUUAUUGUCGACUCACAAUGAUCUCUGAAGAUUUCAUUAUAAAUAUCCACGAUCGCCAGGAGUCCUGCUCAGCUUUGCAUAGUUCAAAUCUUCUCGAGUUUCGUACAAUUAUUUCUAUUGAGUAUUGACGUCUUUACUUACGCAUGAGUACUAUAACCACUAAUCUACACGAUAUCUAGAUAACUCUAAUGUUCAUUACUUAACUAUACACGGAGCUUCUCACUCUGACCCUACAAAUCAUAUAAUCAUUCGAUGUCACAAACUAAUAAACUCAGAAUUUUAUCUUAAUAUGAUGAUCUCGUAAAAUCUACUUAUAAUUCCUCAUUUAAUAUUACCUGGAUCGUUUCUCAUUUAUUCUUCCCUUAUUAUCGAUAUAAGUAAAAUAUUGCUUACUAACUCAUGUUAUUACCCUAAAAAUCUCCUUAUGACCCGACAAUCUCAUCUUCCUUAUACCAACAUUAUAUAUGCCUCUAUAAGAAGCAACAAUGAACCUUCUAACCAAUGCUCUAGAAGUGGUAAACUAGACAGGUUUCUCCACGAGUCUAGCUAGCACUAGUUACUCAGAAAAUCAACCUCAAGCUCUGAAAGAUUGGAAACUAAAGAUGUCUAUCAUGUUCCUCCUGAGAUCCAAGCUCACUGAUUCUAGAACUGAAAAGUACGAUAUACCCAAAAUGAUGCUCAGAGUCAAUACUCCAAUUUCAGUCUCAGUCCAAUUGAAAAAGACUAUAUCGAAUAGUCUAGACUUACCUCUAUAUGAGGUUCCACUAAACAUAAUCUAAUCAUAACCUACCUUCUGAUUUCAAUAACUUAUAACCUGUAGCUCUGAUACCAACUGUGACAGCCCUCAAAUCCGGGGGUCUGGAUUUGGUGCCACUAAAAGAAAAACAAUUGAAAACCUGUAUUUUAUUUUAUUUUUUUUAAAGAAAACAAAAACAAGUAUUUCAAACUUGGAUAUUAAAAAAUGAUUUACCCUUUUGAAACAUGUAUUGUUGAAAAGCUAAUAAAAAUCAAAGAAUUUAAAACCUAAAAGCUUUAAUAAAAGAUUUUAAAAAACAAAGUUUAACCCCCUUUAAAACAGGAUCGCAAACAGGCUAUAGUAUUGAAAUCAGAAAAGUAAAACUAAUAAAUCUUAUUACAUGUUUUUACAACUAAAUCAAGUUUAGACAACUCUAAUUACCACUAGUCCCAAAGACUUGAUCUUGGAUACUCUUCCUGACCAUCAGGUUGAAACUUAGUCACUUGCAAUCCUCGCCUAACCUUACUCUUAUGCUUAGCCUAAAUAGGCGAACCAUCUUUAACAUUAUCUGAAAGGGGUUAGAAGAAAUAGCAAGAAUGAGCAAAAGAAUGCUCAGCAAGA